GUCCAGGAAACUUUGUGAGUGUGUGGAACACAACAUCUUAUGUGGUAGAGAAGGUCUUGGAAGCUGACAAUGGUAGAGAGAUUCAGAACAUAGCUAUAACACCAGACGGAAUGGUAAUUAUUGGGCUGUCCGAAGACAACAAAAUCACACUUUGGGCUACGAUGACAGAUAAUUGUGUGCCUAAACGAAGAACAACUCCUCACAUAAA